GACAGUAUUCUUUUCAGAGGUCGUAGUACCGUAGAAUAAGUGAAUUGAAACGAAACUUUCCAAUAAAUUUCUAAGUACAAUAGAAGUAUAAGCGGCACAUCUGCUGUCCUCACUAGAACAGGGCGGGGCUAGAAGCUGCAUCAGCAUAUGCUUCUGAUUUCUGACGAUACUAAACAAAUGGGGCGCCUCUUGCUGUAGUAGCUUUGCAUUUUUUCCCCUCUUUCUUCCUGUGAGCCCCCGUUUCUCUAAUUUGCAAGACCAGAGGAAGAAGACGACGAACCAACCACAAAGAAUACUUCUCCCCAACUCAUCUCAUCUACUAGAACAGCAUUUUAUCUCCGAGGUUCAUGAGUUUGAUGUACUAGAUGGAGAAGUACACGGUUCAGAAUCUGCAGGAGAAGAAAUUUAGCAGCCUGACCCAACUAAUGAAAUUGUUGCAACACUUGGGCUAUUUUCUGGAGAGGAUGGCAAAGAGGAGGCCCAGAAAUUCACCAGCUCUGAACUACAAGAGUACAGAGCAAGGACCAAGGAAGAAGAAGAGGACCAUAUCAAGCGCGCCAUCAAACAGUCACUGCUAUCAGCCUGAGCCAUAGCUAUCGCGUGAGCCCACGAUGUCGCUGAUUGGUGAAGGCCGAGAAGGCCACCGCGCCGAUGGGUGUUGUCUUCACCGUUGACAACAAUGUUGUGCAUCCAACAAAGGAAACAAUAGUUCUUCCAGAUCCUGGCCCCUCAAUCAAGGGAAGGAGAUGGCCAUAUUUUCUUCCGACCAUGAAGACGACUACUGGGGCUAACAAUUAUCAGGUCGCAAGAAAAGUAUUAAGGAGCUGUUCUAGCAUACUAUCCUACUAUCCACUUCUAUGCUUUAGUAGUAGAUGUUUGUUCUGUUUUAGAUUUGAGUAAAUCCAUGGCUUGCAGUAAACUGAUAUCUCCCUCACUUCCUGUACUAAUGUGGUGAGUUUCAACAAAACUCUUUCACCAUCUGAGAUGAUAAAUUUCCAUCUGUUCAUUUGUCUAUUCAUCAGUACAUUACACUAUCUUGCAUUGCACAGGAUACCUCCAAUGAUAUCUUUCCUUUUUUGUCCACGAUUUUUCAUGCCACUACACCUAUGAUCAGGUGUUCUAUUUAGCACAGUUCAUUCGAACUCGAGUUUCAUAUGUACUGAUUCGUAGAUAUGUAUCACCUUUGGAACUAUACUUUGCAUACACUUCAUAUUAAGGAGCAAUGGAUGCCCCUGUAUCUCAACUUCUCCCAGCCGAACAAACACAUUUAUCACGCCCCUGUAUCUCAGCUUAUUUUACCUUACAAUCUUAUCAAGGAAUAGUUUUCAUGCAUUCUAAUACAUAGUUAUGCCUAACUCUUUGAGUUAUACUUUGCAUACACUUUUUAUUGGCUCUACAAUGGAUGAUCCCACUAAGAAAUGGUUUUAUAUGUUCUAGAGUAUUCCCUCUGUAGAUAAAAAUAAAUAGACGGUCUGAAGUUGUCCCUUUUGUAUCAAAAAUAUUUGUCAUGCCACCACCUUCAAGGCAAGCUCAUGUUUCUAAUAUGUAUGAUUUAUUUUGCCUAGCUAUCCUACCAAGGAAUAAUUUUCACAUACUAAUUCAUGAAUAUACAUGAUCUCUUGGAUUACAGUUUGCAUACACUUUUUACUAGCUACGGAGUACUAUAUUUAUCAGAGUGGGUAAGGUACAUGAAUGUUCAGAAAAGCCCUUUUAUUCUUUUUCACACAACUAAUAUUACAAUUUUCUUUUUCAUCAUAGGGAAACACACUUGAAGGACACAUACAAGGAAACCGUAUAGAUCAGUUCAAAAAGAAGGUUCAGUAUAUACCAUAGAGAAUUUCAUCUUUGAAGAUGUACGCAAAUAAUACAGGACAACCGAUCAGCAGUAUAGGUUCAAACUUACUCAGGGCACGAAGGUGAAUGAAGUUGUCCCGGAGCCUCAAAACAUUCACCUUUUUUCUAUGCAAUGCAAAAGCCCUUUGGCAUUUUAGAGGAACGAGCUUACACUGCCUGUCUUUCACUGUCUUUUUAUGUGGAUAUUACCUUAAGUGAUACACAAAGAACACAGCCUACUUAUUGCUUUGAUUUUCCAGAGGAAAAACUUAAAUGGUAUACUAAUCCUGCAUAAGACGUGUCUAAUGAUCUGCAAUUCUGCUUACUUAAGGAUGCCAGCUCCACCUCUGAAAAAAAGAAAAGGAAGACCAAAGCAUUGGCUACUAUACCAAGCAAGAAGCAGAUCAACAAAGAGCUCUUCGGGCGACAGCAAAAGUCAGCCAAAAAUGUAAGCUUAGCGGAAAAAUCCAAGACAGACAAGGAAUGAAGCAGCAAAGACAAAAACUGAACGCGUUGGCAGAUUAUCCAUGUUUAGAUGCUUUUUGAUAGUUUGCUAAUAUAGUGAGUAGUGUUGUCUGCAACAAUACCAUUUUCAUUUUCAACAAAAAAAAUGGAAGUUUAACUUGAAGAUACUUCUUUCAGUUUCAAAAUUUUGUGUUGCCAGUAUAAAGUUGUCGACAAUAACUAAAGAAAAUUAUGUACUGAUAUUUUGGGUGCUAUAUAUUCUAGAUUACCUGUGCUACUCUUAAUAUAAAUUCUUGAUUCUGAAAUCCAUAUGCCCAAAUAUCUUAGCUAACUAUUUUCUGUGCAUACAUUGCCUUUUCACUCAAAUCAUCAUACCUAAACACUAAUAUUCUAUUGAAUACAAUGACCUUGCUCAACUUGAAUGCAGGUUUAUGCUGACACAUUGGUAAAGAAAGCAUACAAAGACUAGAUGCAUGAUGUAGGAUAUGAUGGUAAAGCAUUCCAGAGCUUCAAGCAUAAUCUGUCGCAACCAGAAGUGAUACGGCAGCAGCUUCAACAAGUAACCAUGCUUCACAUGGUUCGAUCAAUGCACAGAAACAAUUACCGUGUGUCUGGAAACUAAAUUUCUACUUCUCUCACUCUACCUACAACAACAUAUCAAAAUUUACAUAAGGGAACAUAUUCGUUCACUGUGGAUUAUUUGACAUUGU